rnacentral:rRNA from 1 species
AGAGUUUGAUCAUGGCUCAGAACGAACGCUGGCGGCAGGCCUAACACAUGCAAGUCGAGCGAGGACUUCGGUCCUAGCGGCGGACGGGUGAGUAACGCGUGGGAACGUGCCCCUUUCUACGGAAUAGUCCCGGGAAACUGGGUUUAAUACCGUAUACGCCCUUCGGGGGAAAGAUUUAUCGGAGAGGGAUCGGCCCGCGUUGGAUUAGGUAGUUGGUGGGGUAAUGGCCUACCAAGCCGACGAUCCAUAGCUGGUUUGAGAGGAUGAUCAGCCACACUGGGACUGAGACACGGCCCAGACUCCUACGGGAGGCAGCAGUGGGGAAUCUUAGACAAUGGGGGAAACCCUGAUCUAGCCAUGCCGCGUGAGCGAUGAAGGCCUUAGGGUUGUAAAGCUCUUUCAGCUGGGAAGAUAAUGACGGUACCAGCAGAAGAAGCCCCGGCUAACUCCGUGCCAGCA